AUGAUCCCCUCAGCAGCAUAUACACUAAAAUUGGAACGAUACAGAGAAGAUUAGCAUUGUCUCUAAGUAGGAUGACAUGCAAAUUCAUUUAUGGACAGGAUAAGCUAUUU